GGACAAAGUAUAUAAUUAGAACAGAGAUCAUGUUUUAUCGUGUUGACACAGAUAUGAUUCCUGACCCUUUGUCUUAUAAAAGUGACAAAAGCUAUGUCGAGACAUUGGCGUUAUAUGUGAAAUCACAUGAUCUAGAGCAAGCUGGUGAUACCUCUGGUUUUACCGAUAGCUAUUUGAAAGCGCUGAAACUUCAAAUUGAGGCUCAACAGUCAGUUGGAGCUGAUGCAGAAGCACUCGGUACACGGGCUCUUCCUUACGAGUUAUAUGUUUGUGUGUUCUCAUAUCUCCAGCCUUCUGAUUUGUGCAGAUGUAUGAGAGUAUGAAAGGAUUUGGUACGAUGUAGCAAUGGAUGGACAACUGUGGUCUGAUUUGCAUCGAUUACGAUGGCCAAUAGGUGUUAGUGUUGAGAAGUUUUUGGAUGCAGAUGCCAAGUGCAUUUACAAAAGAUUGGCAUGGUUGC